UACGUAGGAGGCAAGCGUUGUCCGGAAUUACUGGGCGUAAAGCGCGUGUAGGUGGUGGGACAAGUCUGCUGUGAAAGCGCCUGGCUUAACCGGGCGAGGUCGGCGGAAACUGUCCGACUCGAGGACGGUAGAGGGGGGUGGAAUUCCCGGUGUAGUGGUGAAAUGCGUAGAUAUCUGGAGGAACACCGGUGGCGAAGGCGGCAUCCUGGACCGGCAUUGACGCUGAGGCGCGAAAGCGUGGGGAGCGAACAGG
rnacentral:rRNA from 1 species